GAUGAACGCUGGCGGCGUGCCUAAUACAUGCAAGUCGAGCGAACGGACGCGAAGCUUGCUUCUCUGAGGUUAGCGGCGGACGGGUGAGUAACACGUGGAUAACCUACCUAUAAGACUGGGAUAACUUCGGGAAACCGGAGCUAAUACCGGAUAAUAUUUUGAACCGCAUGGUUCAAAAGUAAAAGACGGUCUUGCUGUCACUUAUAGAUGGAUCCGCGCUGCAUUAGCUAGUUGGUAAGGUAACGGCUUACCAAGGCAACGAUGCAUAGCCGACCUGAGAGGGUGAUCGGCCACCCUGGAACUGUGACACGGUCCAGACUCCUACGGGAGGCAGCAGUGGGGAAUCUUCCGCAAUGGGCGAAAGCCUGACGGAGCAACGCCGCGUGAGUGAUGAAGGUCUUCGGAUCGUAAAACUCUGUUAUUAGGGAAGAACAUAUGUGUAAGUAACUGUGCACAUCUUGACGGUACCUAAUCAGAAAGCCACGGCUAACUACGUG
rnacentral:rRNA from 1 species